CCUCUGUUUCUUGGCGUACAUAGGUUGCUCAGUACUCAUGUAUGUAAUACAAGGAGGUAUAUUAAACCAGUGCUAUGUCUUCGGUGCCGGUGUGUACUUACUGUCUGCCGGUUCUAUCCUCAAUCGCUGGUACAUUA